rnacentral:tRNA from 1 species
GGGGAUUUAGCUCAGUGGUUCCAGCAUCUGCCUUACAAGCACAAGGUCCCAAGUUCGAUCCCUGGUACCA